rnacentral:lncRNA from 1 species
AAUUUGGUCUUAAUCAGGCUGAGCUAAGCCAGUCUGUAUUUGAGGAGUUGGAAGCAGGUGAUUCGGGCACAAAUUUGAAGGCUGAUAAACGGCAGCCGUCACCCGUGCACUCAGAGCGGCCAGAAGUCCUGCUCCUGGGGAAGGAGGAAGGGCGCAAGGGCAAUGAGCAUGUCGCCUUGCCCUCGGGGUGUGCGGUUUCUGCUCAGCCUCCUCUUGCAGCCUUGUUUCAAGUGUGGGAAUGGCCUCCUGACUCCCAAUCCGAAACAACUGCUGAGCACAGAAGGCAGAGCAGGGCCCUGAGAGUCAGAGGAAAAUGCUGCUGCGGGGACUGGGGAGCCCCAUCGGGUGACUCCCCAGAGAUGUGAGCAGGUGCAGAGGCUGGAACAACAGUGCUGCAGGAAAGUCUCUCCCGUGGAUGCUGUGGCCUGGGGCUUGGGUGACGACGUGCACGGCUGCCUCCUCGCUGUCACGUGCUCUGCUGGCUCGUCUCCAAGCUGUGCUGCUCAUGUUCCAAAGUCUCCCUGGAGGCUUUAGUGAAAAGCCCUUUCCCCGGUGACCUGGAGUGUCUUGCUAGAUGGAGCUGGCCAAGCCUGACGUCUUUUCCUGGCCGAUGCCUCAGUCCUUAUGCAAGCUGAGCUAUCUGAUGGCAGGUCCUGAGAUCAGCGUCUGGGGCCAGUUCCCAGGGAUAGGCUAUCCCAGCAGGACCGCAGCACCUGCUGAUGCCCCUGCAGCUGCCAGAUCCUGGGAGGUGGCAUCACUGUGCCUGCCAUUAAGGUGGACGUGAGGCAGGACUUCAUCCUGGAGCUGGAAGAAGCCUCAGGGUCAUCAGUCCUCAGAGUGGCAUCAGGCCCACCCUCACCGCACAGGUGGGGCCUCAGGCCUGGGAGCGUGACCGACUGGCCCCCAGUCUUUCCACCAGCCAGGAGUAAGGUCGGGACUAGACUCCUGACUCGCUGACCACCAUACCUACAGCCAUUCCCUCACUCUCCUUCAAUGACCUCAAGUGGGGGCAAAAGAGCGGCUGCCAUGACCUCAAGGACUCUCAGAUGCAUGGCAAACGGCAGGUCUGACCGUGCCGGAAAGGGUCCAGGGGAAGGCUGCUGCCUCCAUCCUCGGGCCAGGACAUGAAGGGGCAUCAACGUCAGGGCAGAAAACAGGAGCAAUGGGAGGUCCUGAGUGAAUCCUGCAACAGAGAAACUCUUGCCUGCACCCUCUCCUCUGUCCCCCCUCCACCGCCCCAUCUCAAUGCCACAGGCUGAACCGGAGACCUGUCUUGAUGCCAGAGGGGGCCAGCAAUUGCCCAAAGAAUGCGGAGCUCCCCCUGGUUUGUUGCUGGGGGCCCUUAAUCCCAGUGCUGUGCUGGAGCUGGCUUGUAACAUUCAAUAGAACCAAGCGUUAAAUGUGCUCAGAUUUUGUGAGCCAGUUGUAAAUAUAGGCAUUAUUCACAAUUAAUCAUAUGAACUUAUAAUCAAAUAUGUUAACAAACACCCCUUCCCAAUGAGUUUUACUACUUUUGCUAUUUUCUAUGCUUUGAGGGUUACUUGCAUCUAUUAUAUCAAUGCCGUGGGAAGAGUAUAUAGUGACAGCUACUGGGCAUCUCUUCCCAAGCCCACAAUCUGUGACGUCACAUUGAAAGCUUGGGAUUGGCCAUGAUAGGAGUAUUUACACCAUGGAAGUUGGCAAACACUGCAAAUCAGAGCUUGUGUUAUUGUUUUGUUGAUUUUCUAGGCUUAAGAAAGUAAUAAAAAAUUGUUAAUAGUACAGAUUCAACUUAUAAGUGGGUCAUGUCUGGGGCCAUUUGUAGCAGUCUGGCUCUAAUCGGGAGACAGAAAUCACACAGCAGGUUAAACAGGGGAAAUUUAAGUUAAAAUUAUUAACAGUUGUAAAACAGUAAGAUAGGCCGGGCGCGGUGGCUUAUGCCUGUAAUCCUAGCACUUUGGGAGG